AUGCAAAUGUUACGCUGGGAGUCUGGCGACCUCACCUGGAAGCCAUGGAAGGGCGGAAGUGUGGACAUAAUUUGUCUAUGGGGCUCCAUUUUGUUCUGCGCUCCUGUUAUGUGUUAGGAAGCCCUCAAAAUCAGGUUGGUUGACUCCGAGGGCUUGGACUUCCUGAUCCUCUAGAGUAUGACUUGUGACUUUUGCCACCAUUGUUUCUGUAGGGGUGCCAGAGGAAGAAGUCAGGGAAGUCUCACGUCCUUAUUGAGAGCUUUGUGACUGACCUCCAGACCCCAUAGACUUCUGUUAACUUUUUGAGAGACAGAAUUUCAUUACUGGCCUGGAACUCCUUUUUCCCCCGGGGUCGGGGGUUGUUGUUUUGGCUUUUCUUUUUUUAGAUUUAUUUAUUGUUUUAUGUAAGUACACUGUAGCUGUUUUCAGAUGGUUGUGAACCACCAUGUGGUUGCUGGGAUUUGAAUUCAGGGCCUUCGGAAGAGCAGUCGAUGAUCUUAACCGCUGAGCCAUCUCUUCAGCCCUUGUUUUGGCUUUUCAAGCCAGGGUUUUUCUGUGCAGGCCUGGCUGACCUUCCUGAAACUCGAGCUAUAGACCAGGCUGGCCUGAACUCACAGAGAUCACCUGCCUCUACUUCCUGAAUACUGAGAUUAAAAGUGUAUGCCACCAUA
rnacentral:lncRNA from 1 species